GGCUACUGCUAUUGGAGUUCGAUUAAGCCAUGCGAGUCUAAGGGGUACUUGUACCCCUGGCAUAAUGCUCAGUAACACGUGGAUAAUCUACCCUUAGGUGGGGCAUAAACCCGGGAAACUGGGGCUAAUUCCCAUAGAUACAGAACGCUGGAAUGCCUCUGUAUUCAAAGCUCCGGCGCCUAAGGAUGAGUCUGCGACCUAUCAGGUAGUAGUCAGGGUCACGACCUGACUAGCCAACGACGGGUACGGGGUGUGAGAGCACUUGCCCGGAGAUGGUUUCUGAGACACGAAACCAGGCCCUACGGGGCGCAGCAGGCGCGAAAACUUCGCAAUGCGGGAAACCGUGACGAGGGAACUCCAAGUGUCUAUGCAAUGCAUAGACUGUUUUUCAGCCUAAAUAGCUGUUAGAGUAAGGGGUGGGUAAGACCGGUGCCAGCCGCCGCGGUAACACCGGCACCCCGAGUGGUAGCCACUAUUAUUGGGCCUAAAGCGUUCGUAGCCGGUUUAGUAAAUUCUUGGGUAAAUCGUACAGCUUAACUGUGCGGAUUCCGGGGACACUACUAGACUUGAGACCGGGAGAGAUUAGAGGUACUUGCAGGGGAGCGGUGAAAUGUUGUAAUCCUGCAGGGACCACCAGUGGCGAAGGCGUCUAAUCAUAACGGCUCUGACGGUGAGGAACGAAACCCUGGGGCGCAAACGGGAUUAGAUACCCCGGUAGUCCAGGGCGUAAACGCUGCUGACUUGGUGUUGGAGAUCCUACGAGGGUGUCCAGUGCUGGCGCGAAGGUAUUAAGUCAGCCGCCUGGGGAGUACGGUCGCAAGACUGAAACUUAAAGGAAUUGGCGGGGGAGCACUGCAACGUGUGGAGCGUGCGGUUU
rnacentral:rRNA from 1 species